rnacentral:rRNA from 1 species
UACGAAGGGGCUAGCGUUGCUCGGAAUCACUGGGCGUAAAGCGCACGUAGGCGGCUUUCUAAGUCGGGGUGGAAAUCCUGGAGCUCAACUCCAGAACUGCCUUCGAUACUGGAGGCUCGAGUCCGGGAGAGGUGAGUGGAACUGCGAGUGUAGAGGUGAAAUUCGUAGAUAUUCGCAAGAACACCAGUGGCGAAGGCGGCUCACUGGCCCGGUACUGACGCUGAGGUGCGAAAGCGUGGGGAGCAACAGG